AUGGACGCUGUGGAGUCCACUUCGCCCUACUCGCCGCCGUCGCUGCGCCACAAGCUGCGGACAACCGUCUGCGGCUGCUUCGGCUCGCCGUCGUCGCCGGGCAACGAGGGAGAAAGACCGCACAGCGGGGGCAGGACGAGGUGGAGGCGACGGGUGGCGGCCGCGGGCGAGUUCAGGUACGACCCGCUGAGCUACGCGCUCAACUUCGACGACGGCAGCAGCGGUGACAGCGAUGGUGCGGACGGGGAGGACGCCACCUUCCGGAACCGAAACUUCAACUCCCGCCUGCCUCCCUCGCCGGUGCCGGCCUCCCGAGCCGUCGCCAUCGCCAUCGCCUCAAGACUGAAGUCCUUUGCUGCUUCUGUAGCUUUAGUCUCUCUGACUUUUCUUCUUCUCCAAGUGAGAUUGAAUCAACUCUGUAAAAGUGAUAUUGAAUCGUAG
rnacentral:rRNA from 1 species